CUGAUUGUGAUGCCCAACAAAAGUGGGUCAACGACCGUCAACAUUUUCUAAUCGGGAGAAGCGCAACAAAGAUCAACAUCAUAGACGCAGGAGCGGGCUGAAUUAAAGGAAGAGUGAACCACCAAACCAACGACUACGUGGGAGCCGCCAGAGCGCAGCAACAACACCACCAACGUAUCACUCAUCACCAGAGCUCAGCACCAACACCAUCAAUGUCCGACUCAGUACCAGUAGUGGAAUUCACUAACUUUUAACGACGCCAAUUUACGAGUUGUUAGUUAAAUAUUUGUGUUGUUUACAGUAACAAUUGUUCGAUUCACUAAUUUAUCUUUAACGACACUAAACAGCUGACUUUCGCUAUUUAUGUAAAUAAAUAAAAAGUGGCACCCCUGUUAUCCGAAAUCUGCGAAAAGCACAAAAGAAAAUUGGAAAAAAAUUAAAGAAAUUUAUAGUUUGUUCUUGAAAAGGUAAGUAUUGUAAUGAAUUCAGGCAAAAAUAAUCGUGCUUUAUAAUUUAAUUACUUUUCUUUUUAUAUUUUAGGAUGGCCUCAACUAGCCAAGCAGCCACUACACGGAACCGCGCUUCAACGGAGCAGUUGAGUGCAAUGAUAGACUUAUUCCAAGAAACUCCGGGGCUGGACGGAGGUAAGUUUCAUCGGCUGCAUGGCAAGCUGGAACACGAAAAUAAAUGGGAGGAGAUGGCUUCCAAGCUAAAUGCCAUCGGAGGAGCUGAAAAGUCCGUCGACCAAUGGCGUACGGUAAGUUAUAAGCCCACUAAGAAAAGACCGGUGCUGUGCGGGAAAACUGUGAUUUGUGAAAACAUAAUAACUUUUGUUAAGUUUUGUUGUUAACUUAAAAAUAUCGUUUUUAUUGCAAACAUAUAUGUAUAUAUGUACAUACAAGUGGUGCAUAACUGUGGAGUCGAUCCCAUGCAUUGCUACUGCGCACAGUCUCGUUCUUUGUGUGUACGGACAUACAUAUAUAUUUAUGCACAUACAUUCUAUGGAAUAUUCUAUCUGUUUAUUUCUAAUAAUCCUUUUUUUGCAUUCUUUCAUAUGUAGGUCUGGCGCGAUUUGAAAAGUAGGACUAAUGUUCGAGUGCGAGACCGGAAAAGGCAGCAGGCGUCAACCGGAAACCGGCCCGUGAAACAGCCUCCUUUAACGGAGCUGGAGGAGCGCGUGGUGGCCAUUAUUGGAAGCCACUAAAUUGAGGGCCACGAGUCGGUAGCAGAAAAUGUACCAUUUGACUUGGAGCUUCAAUUGGCCCUGGAAGACGGUGAGGAGAUAGUCUUUCUGCGUGAAGCGGUGGAGUCCGAAGACCAGGUAAAAACUGAAGUGCGGCCGGAGACUCCAAAAACGCCUACAAUGAGAACUCCACGCAGGGGAUUGAAGAGGAAAAGAGAAGAGGAGCAGAGCGGAACCGAAAAGAAGUUUUUGGAAGUUACACAAACUCAAGCUGCUGCAAUGAAGAUGCUGGCGGAAAGCUUUUCCAGACUGGUGGAGGCACCAUUCCAGCUGGCGGGGGAACUCCGGGUAUAUGGAGAAGGAAAGCCUGCGCCGAUGCUAUAAAUAAUUUGGCAAGGGCACUCGGUCCCCAAUAAUUUUUUUAAAUCUACUUAAAAGAUGGUAUUUCCUGAUACAGAUAUUCCAUCAUUACUGGAUUUGGAAAUACCAUCUUUUGAUUGGGUUUUAGGUUAAAAAUUAGGUUAAGAAAAUGAAUUUGUCCCAUUUAUUUAAUUUGCUAUAGUAUAUAAUACAUAGUUUGUUAUAUUUUAUACUCUGGUUGCCCGAAAAUUAGAAACGCGACUUCUUUUCAAGUUCUGACAAUUUUUUUUUUCUUAAUUAGUUUUAAUUUAUUUAAAAGAAAAACUUGGUCAUAUUAUAACGAAAUCCAUAUAAAACAAAGUAGUAAUCCUUGUACAGUAUUUAUGAAAAUUUAAAUUUACCGAAUUUUUAUAAAUCCUGUACAAGGUUUAUAACUGUGUUUUAUAUGGAUUUCGUUAUAAUAUGACCACUUACUUUACUUUUUAAGUAAAUUUUUUUAAAUCAAUACGGCAUAUUCAUAGUCGAAAUAAAAUUGACGCUAAGUUAGUAGCAGUUUUUUGACAUACAGCUAUAGUCAAAGAUGUAGCACCAGAAAUCAAAAUGAUAUUUUGUUUCUUUAUUUUUAAUAAUACUCAUUUAAAAUAUAAUUCAAUCUAUAAAAGAAACCACAUAAAU
rnacentral:lncRNA from 1 species